rnacentral:rRNA from 1 species
UACGUAGGGUGCAAGCGUUGUCCGGAAUUAUUGGGCGUAAAGAGCUUGUAGGCGGUUUGUCGCGUCUGCUGUGAAAUUUCGGGGCUCAACCCCGAACUUGCAGUGGGUACGGGCAGACUAGAGUGUGGUAGGGGAGACUGGAAUUCCUGGUGUAGCGGUGAAAUGCGCAGAUAUCAGGAGGAACACCGGUGGCGAAGGCGGGUCUCUGGACAGUUCCUGACACUGAGGCACGAAGGCCAGGGGAGCAAACGGG